UACGUAGGUGGCAAGCGUUGUCCGGAUUUAUUGGGCGUAAAGGGCGCGCAGGCGGUCCGUUAAGUCCGAGGUGAAAUCUCCCGGCUCAACUGGGAGGGGUCUUCGGAUACUGGCGGACUUGAGGAGUGCAGAGGUGAGUGGAAUUCUCGGUGUAGUGGUGAAAUGCGUAGAUAUCAAGAGGAACACCUGAGGUGAAGACGGGUUGCUGGGCCGACACUGACGCUGAGUGCGCGAAAGCCAGGGGAGCAAACGGG
rnacentral:rRNA from 1 species